CCUACGGGAGGCAGCAGUCGAGAAUCAUUCACAAUGGGGGAAACCCUGAUGGUGCGACGCCGCGUGGGGGAAUGAAGGUCUUCGGAUUGUAAACCCCUGUUAUGUGGGAGCAAAUUAAUAAGAUAGUACCACAAGAGGAAGAGACUGCUAACUUGGUGCCAGCAGCUGCGGUAAUACAGAGGUCUCAAGCGUUGUGCGGAAUCACUGGGCGUAAAGCGUGCGUAGGCUGUUUCGUAAGUCGUGUGUGAAAGGCGCGGGCUCAACCCGCGGACGGCACAUGAUACUGCGAGACUAGAGUAAUGGAGGGGGAACCGGAAUUCUCGGUGUAGCGGUGAAAUGCAUAGAUAUCGAGAGGAACACUCGUGGCGAAGGCGGGUUCCUGGACAUUAACUGACGCUGAGGCACGAAGGCCAGGGGAGCGAAAGGGAUUAGAUACCCGGGUAGUC
rnacentral:rRNA from 1 species